rnacentral:rRNA from 1 species
CGGCGGACGGGUGAGUAAUGUCUGGGAAACUGCCCGAUGGAGGGGGGUAACUACUGGAAACGGUAGCUAAUACCGCAUAACGUCGCAAGACCAAAGAGGGGGACCUUAGGGCCUCUUGCCAUCGGAUGUGCCCAGAUGGGAUUAGCUAGUAGGUGGGGUAACGGCUCACCUAGGCGACGAUCCCUAGCUGGUCUGAGAGGAUGACCAGCCACACUGGAACUGAGACACGGUCCAG